AAUGUUUUUGUUUUGUCAACGAGUCAAUCAACAAUCGUGGGCGUGGUCCACACACCGCCAUGAGAAAAGAACCACACGUCAUCACCAUGGAAACGCUUCUUCGCCCGGAAGUGAGGGGCACUUUUAAAUUCCGGGCUAACGCAACGGUUUGUUUAGAAAUGUAUGAUUCGGAAAGGCCAUACAUGUGUAGCUAUUGUCAGGGAGAAACCCGGGGGACGUUUAAACAGUUUCAGACUGUACAAGACACCCAAAGAGGGCAUUCAGGUGCACUGGAUUUUGGCUUGCUGUUGAAAAGCUAAAUGAGCUAAAGCUGACUAGGCCUACUUGCCAUUGAAUUGGACUAGCUUCAGCUGCAGUCUACACGUGGGAGUGCUACGAUCUACUCAAGAUGCUGUUGUGAUAGCGAGGAGAGAGUAUGGUGGAUUCUCACAAGGAUUGCUCUUCUGAGGGGCUGCAGUUUAUUACAAAUGGGAAAGCUUUCAUUGCAGAUUGCCCUAGCGCUGCGUAGAGGUCCACCACCUGCCCUGGCCUGCGCUGUCUUUCCCCCAGCCAAGGAAGCUCAUGCCUGGGCACUCUGGGCAGCGGCCCAGCCUUUCACAUCCAGGUCCAGGGCCAAGAGACAUGGGCCAACAGCUGGCAGUAUGCAGAAGGAGCCUGGAGGCUUCCACAGCAGAUGAAUCACCACGGAUUAAUAUUUAACUCCAGACUCCUGCUCCCCUCUAGCGUCCCCCUCCCCCCGCUCUCUUCUUACCACCUUCCUUCUCCUUGUACCCAUCACUCCAUCCCCCAGUCCUGCAGUCUUUCAGCAGGUUCCUCUCGGCCAUCCGUCUACUGCAUCAUCAUCAUUGUCCAGCAUGAUGUCCAAAACCACUGUGAGUUUCAGCAGCAAGAGGUGUAGUUUGAGUUGUCACGACAACCUGCGCGCCUGGCUCAUGGCUUUCUUCCAAGUGCAGACAAAGCUGUCGCCGAAUGAACCAGGCGUGUGUCCACCGGACCUGAGGGGUGCCGCCACCGCUAACAAAACACACAAAGACCCUCGCCCCUGGCACUGGCCCUCACCCCGUCUACCCGCUCUCCUGCCCCUCCCACACUCGGCUGCCUGCUGCUUUGUGCCUGCUCCAAGAAGAGGAAGUUCCUCUCAUCUCCUA